UUCCACCUCUCGCCAACCACCGCCUCAGCAAUCCUUCUUUCCCUACGCGCACAACACACACUGAUAAACCGCAAAAAAACCAAAAACAGAAGAGAACAUAAAAUAUAUGAUGAAUUAUGAACAAUCUUUUCUUCCCAUUUUGCCCUCCCAUCGCCGCCGGCAAUUCCUUAGCCAUUUUUAGGGUUUUAUUAGGGAAACUCUAAGAGAGAAGGUAUAGUCGUGGAGAGGUCUCCGACGAAAUAAACAAAAGUAAAAACGACGUUGUGGGGGUAGUGAACUAGGGCUUUAAAGACAGAGAAGUUUCAAAGAUUGAAACCGGUGUACAUGGCUCCAGGGCGGAAGCGAGCAAAAGGCGGUGGCUCUGCAGGAGGAGAAGGCGGAGGAGGAGGGGGACCUAAGUCGAAAGCUCAAUUGAAUAUAGGCGAUCUUGUCCUCGCCAAAGUCAAGGGCUUUCCUGCUUGGCCCGCCAAGAUAAGCAGACCUGAAGACUGGGAUCGAGCUCCUGAUCCAAAAAAAUAUUUUGUUCAAUUCUAUGGUACAGAAGAAAUAGCUUUUGUUGCUCCUGCGGAUAUUCAGGCAUUUACAAGUGAUUCCAAGAAUAAAUUGUCAGCUCGUUGCCGAGGGAAGACAGUUAAAUACUUUGCACAAGCUGUGAGGGAAAUUUCUGAAGAAUUUGAACGGUUGCAACAUCAAAGUCCAAGUGGCCUCAGAGAUGAUAAAAGUCCAUUGGCAUUUGUAACUGAUGUGCAUUCUGCCGAUGGGGAAAUAGGUGAUGCUAUAGGGGCUGAUCUAAAGGAAGUGAGUGGGAAUAAGGGAAUUAAUCAGCCAACAGAGGUCAGAGGCUUGGGUGACCAUGGCACUGGCUCUCAGAGACAAGAGGAGAUAGACCAUAGGGACAUAAAGUCCACCUUUGAUGAUGGAAAUGGGGGUUUGUCUAAGAGGAGCAAGUUUUGUGAUGGUCGCGCUGAUUUAGUGAAAAAGGAGGUGAUGUCAACAUCUAUUUCAAGCCGUCGUUCGCUUCAUAAGGAAACUUCUUGUGAAAGGAGAGUUGAAGAGUCUUCUUCAAGGCAAAUGAGUCAUGGAGGGGGCUCAAAGGUUAGUGAAAACUAUUCUCCUGAUGCGGCAGAAGAAGGUUUGUCAGCUUCAUUGUCCUCAGAGCAUGAGAACUAUCCUGAUGUUGCAGAUGAUUUUAGAAAUGGACGCAAACCAAGGGUAGCUUCUGGAGAUGAGGCUGACAAAAGAAUUGGAUUUGGUGGCAAGCAGUCAUCUCAGAAUUUGGUGAAAAGUGAUGGUGGGAAAAAAGUGAAAAAAUUGUUGAAAGAUAAUAAGAAUUUUGAUCUGAAGGAUAAGCCUCAGAUAGAUGUUGAAGAAAGUUCUGUUGAUGAGGUUAAGUUUUCCAGCAAGAAACAAGGGCAAGGAAAACAAAUUUCAAAAAGUAAUGAAGUCUUAGAUCCUGCCAGAAGGUCAAAAUGUGAUGAUGUGACUGAUGAUUCCAAGGUGUCACUGCAAAGCAGAAAGGUUGAGGCCCAAAUGAAGAAUAAAAAAAUGGUAGAAGUAGAGGGUAAAAGGUCUGUAGUGCUGGGGAAAGGAGAAAGUCAACUGGACAUGAGAACUCUAUCGAGCACUACUGAUUCCAAUAUUUCUGGUGAUGAAGAUGUUCUCCCUCCACCAAAGCGCCGUCGUCGUGCCAUGGAGGCUAUGUCCACCGCCUCUGCUUUGAAUUUUGAAACUAGAAUUGGAAGAAGUUCUGCUGUACUGAAGAAUGACAUGUCAAGGCGGAGAGCUGUUCGCCUAUGCGAUGACGACGAAGAAGAAGAGCCCAAAACUCCUGUUCAUGAAGGGUCUACAAAGAAAGUCUUGGCUACUGUGCAUGGACCGGUUUCUACAAAGAGAGGCGACGUACAUACUUCUUUUUCUGAUCAAUUUAGCAAAAGAGGUUCUGGUCCACCUGAGGGUCAAUCUUCUAAGAAAUUGGUAGUAUCUGGUGAUCAAUUGGUUGAGCACUUGUCUCCUAAUUCUCAGCAAACUGAGGAGAAGAAGCAAGGGAAAGCAACGGCUUUCCACAUUUCUAAUAGUCCUGGAAAACUAGAGUCUGAGAAAGUAUCUCUCAAGGAAAGUAAACAGGUUUCUGUUUCCCCUAGAAGUUCCCCUCUCUCUUUUUCUGCUGUUAAAUCAGUGACAGACCUUCAAAAGUCCUACAAGCUCUCGGGUAAGGUUCCUAGCAACAUGCAUCAGAGAAAGGCUACGGCAUCUGACCCUGGUGUGACUUCUGAGUGCUUGAACUCAACAGCUAAUCAGCAAAAUGAAAGAUGCACGCCAGAAAUUUCCGCAGACAGAAACAAAGCUACUCCAAAAUCACAUCCUAAGACCAAUGAUGUUCCUCUUCCAUUAGGAAUGACGGAAAAUCGUUUCUUACAGGGGGAAAGAUCUGAAGAUGGUAAAGAUGACAAACUAAGUUCGUCAAUUGAUCAAAGAUCUUCGGAUUCUGUUUUGUCUAUGAAACAUCUUAUUGCAGCUGCUCAGGCCAAAAAGAAACAAGCUCAUUUGCAGAACUUCAGUGACAACCCUAAUUUUCUUCUGGCACUAAACACUGAUGAACCGGUGAGGACCCCUAGCCCUGCUCCUGUUGCUCAGCCUAUGGGGUCCAGCAGCAUGGCACCUUCAGAUGUACAGGGAUUUCUUCCUAAAUCAUCGAUGAUUUCUCCUCCAUCUGAUGUAUAUCAUGCUUCGUCAACUAAUCAACAUGACACUGAAGAAUUUGUAGAGGGGAUUAGUUCUGGGCAUCGGACUGCUGGGGGUUCGCUUAGUGGUGGUACUGAGGCUGCUGUUUCUCGUGAUGCCUUUGAAGGAAUGAUAGAGACAUUGUCAAGGACAAAAGACAGUAUUGGACGUGCUACACGUCUUGCUAUUGAUUGUGCAAAGUAUGGCCUUGCCAAUGAGGUGGUUGAACUUCUCAUUCGGAAAUUGGAGAGCGAGUCAAGUUUUCAUCGGAAAGUGGACCUGUUUUUCCUUGUGGAUUCAAUAACUCAAUGCUCUCAUAGUCAUAAAGGCAUUGCAGGAGCUUCUUACAUACCUGCUGUUCAAGCAGCACUGCCUCGUCUCUUAGUUGCUGCUGCACCACCUGGACCCGGUGCUCGUGAAAAUCGUCGUCAGUGUCUAAAGGUUCUGCGGUUGUGGCUUGAGAGGAAAAUUUUGCCUGAUUCUCUUCUGCGACGUUAUAUGGAAGAUAUUGGAGUAGUAAGCGAUGAUACAUCUUCUGGGCUGUCCCUUAGACGUCCAUCCCGAGCUGAGCGGGCUAUAGAUGAUCCUAUUAGGGAAAUGGAAGGCAUGCUGGUUGAUGAGUAUGGGAGCAAUGCUACAUAUCAGUUGUCUGGAUUUUUCUCAUCUCAUGUCUUCGAAGAAGAAGAGGAAGAGGAGGAAACUCACCAUACUGCGGUCCAGGAAGCUGCAGAUUUAUCACCUCCGCAACGUACCCCUGCCGCAGGAGAUUUUGACAAUUAUAAUUUCACUCCAAAUGAGAAACGUCACCACAUCUUAGAGGAUGUCGAUGGUGAACUUGAAAUGGAAGAUGUUUCUGGACACCAGAAGGAUGAAAGAUCACCAAUGACUGGUGAUACCUUGGGGACUGAUCCAAGUAAUGUAACUUCCGUCAAGAUUGGCGAAUCAACUCUAAGCAUACCUUUUGAAUUGCCUCCUCUUCCUGAGGGUUCUCCACCUCUGCCUCUAGAUUCUCCUCCAGCAACCCCACCUUUGCCAUCUUCACUGCCUCCGUCACCUCUGCAGCCUCCAAUGCCACCUGCAAUGCCCUUGUCUCCGGCUCCGGCUCCGGCUCCGGCUCCAGCUCCAGCUCCAGCUCCUCCACCACCGCCCCUCUUGCAGCCACAUGCAAUUCUGCCGUCUAUUGGUCUUCCUCCCCCAGUAUUGCCUCAACCAUCUUUACCACCUCAGCCUUCAAUGGCCUCUCAACAUGUAAACCUGCUUCCAUCUUCAAAUUUAGCCUCAUCGGUGGCAGCAUAUCAAAAUGGUCCUGUGCUACCGGAAAUUGGUGGAAACCCUGGUGUGAACCCUCUUACAAAAGUGGCUGGAAAUGCUUCUCACGGACCUCCUGUUGAUGCAUCUGUGAGAAAUGAAAUGUUUGCUCAACAGGGACCUAGCUUUGUGCCAAUUGGUGUAGGAACCACACAAGAACCCUCUCGAUAUAGUUCAACUAGGUCUUUGGAAUAUGGGCAUAGUAACAUGUAUGCAAAUUCACUAGCUUCUCAACCCAAUAUGCAAUUCCAGCCUGGAAAUGUGCCUUUCACUCAAAGGCCUUUGCCUCCAAACCCCCCACCUCAAGGUACACCAAGUCAUUUCUCAUAUCCAGUGCCCACAAUCCGGCAUCAUUCUCCCGCUGUUCAGCAUCAUCCUCCUCCGAUUCAGAAUCCCUUGCCUCCUGUGCAGCAUCCUCCACCUCACUCCUAUACUCUGCAAUAUUCUGUGCCUAAUUUUGCUGAUGGAUCAAGGCAUUUUUCUGUUGAUGAACAAUGGAGGAUGAGACCUAGUGACUUGAACUCUGAUCAGCGUGGUGUGUGGAUGCAUGGAGUGAGAUCAUGUUCGGGUCCAGCUUAUACCCAGGAUGGUUAUCCUAUGCCACCUCCAGAGAAGCCCUCUGUUGGUGCUGCUAGUUUUCAACCACCAGUCCUGAACACAUAUCCAAGUGGUACUUCAGUCCCAGGUCAUGGUGUAAAUAACAUAAUUCCUGGCAGACCAGAUAUGUCUGCGUUCAGUUGGAGGCCUGCUUAAAAGUGGAGAGUCCUUUAGCUCCGUGGAUAUUCUAGGUUCUCUUUCAUCCAAGGUGAUAUCUCUGCACGUCCAUUGUCAUUGGAGUAAGCAGUAAUAGUAGUUAAAAGCAAGAGAACAAGUCACUUAAGGGAGAGGCGCAGUGAUGCACUAAUCUUGCACUUAUUUUAAUCUAAUCGAAGCUGUGGGAGAUCAUUGAUACUGGAUUUUUCGGGGAAACUCACCACCCAAUGCUUAUCUGUAACUUGCGAAUUGGAUCACAGCAAAAUGAAUGUGUUCAGAAAUUUUGAUGACCCUUAACAGGAUUGUGUAUAUUGUAAUUUUCCUGACAAAAGCAUCCUGCAAACAUAUGCUUCGAAUUCAAUGCUACAUUUCUGUUGCCUUGCUUUUUCCCAACUCGUGUCUUUCAAGAAGAAGAGGAAUAGGAAAUCAAUCGUCCUGCAUUCAAGGAAGCUGCUGAUUUAUCAUAUCCACAGCAUACCCCUGGUGCAGGAGAUUUUGACAAUUUCUAUUCCCUCCAAAUGAGAAAUGCCACAUCUUAGAGGAUGUAGAUGGUCAGCUUGAAAUGGGAUGUGUCUGAACACCAAAAGGAUCAAAGAUCAUCAAUGACUGGUGAUGCCUCGGGGACUGAUCCUAGUAAUGCAAGUUUGGUCAAGAUAGUCAAAUCAACUCUAAGCAUCCCUUUUGAAUUGCCUACUGUUCCUGGGGCAUUUCCUCCACAGCCUGUAGAUUCUCCUGCAACCCCACCUUUGACAUCCUUACUGCCUCUUGUCAUCACUGCAGCCUCCACUCUCCCAUUGUCUCGAGCUCCACAUCCUCCGUCGCCAGCCCUAUUGGAGCCACGUGCAAUUCUGUCCUCCUCAAGUUUUGCCUCAACCAUAUCUACCAUCGCUGCCGUCAAUGGCGUCUCAACAUUUAACCUGCAUCCGUGUUCAAUUUUAGCCUUAUCGGUGGUGGCAUAUCAAAAUGGUCCUGUGUUAACUGAAAUUGGUGGAAACCCAAGUAUAAGGGUUGAGACUUUCCUUCCCUUCAUACUCUAAUUGCUGCUCAUCCACCAGGGUUAUGGGACAGCAUGGAUGUAAAUUUUUUUUUAUUUAUUUAUUUAUUAACAGGGAAACCCUCUUACAGAAUUGGUUGGAAAUGCUUUUCAUGGAUCUCUUAUUGACGAAAUGUUUGCUCAGCAGGCACCUUUUGUGCCAAUUGGUGUAGAAAGCUCACAAGAAUGCUUUUGAUAUUAUUGAACAAGGUCUUUGGAAUAUGCAAUUCCAACAAGGUCUUUGGAAUAUGCUCUUGAUAUUAUUGAACAAGGUCUUUGGAUAUGAUAAGGUGUGCAAAUUUACUAGCUGCUGAACCCAAUAUGCAAUUCCAGUCUGGAAAUCUGCCUUUCGCUCAAAGGCCUUUGCCACCAUGCCUCCAACCUCAAUGUACACCAAUUCAUUUAUCCUGUCCACAGUCCAUAAUCCAGCGACUUUCUCCUGCAGCUCAGUUUCAUCAUCUUCCAGUUCAGAAUCCUCUGCCUGUUAUGCAGCAACCUCCACCUCCUAAUUUUGCUGGUGGACCAAGGCAAUUUUCUGUUGAUGAACAAUGGAGGAGGAUGAGCUUAUUGACUUUAAUUCUGAUCAUCGUGGUGUGUGGAUGCAUGGAGUGAGAUUGUGUUCAGGUCCAGCUUAUGCCCAGGAUGUUUAUCCUACACCACCUCCUGAGAAGCCCUGUAUUGGUACUGCUAAUUUUCAACCAUUGCUCCUGAGCAGGUAUCCAGGCGGUACUUCAGGACCAGGUUGUGCUAAUGGCUUGAUUCCUGCUGGCCAUUUUUGUCUGCAUUCAAAGUCCUUUGGCUGUGGGAGAUCAUUGAAGCUGGAUUUUUCGCGGAUAUUCACCACCCAAUGCUUAUCCAACAUGCCAAUUGGUUGUUGACAAAAUGAAUGUUUUAAUGAUCCUCAACGGGAUUCUGUAUAAUAAUUUUUCUGACAAAAGCAAAAUAUAUGGUUUGAAAUGUUAGCAAUUUUGAUCAAGUCUUGUAAUUAUUCGAAAUUCAUUAAACAUUGCUGGCACUUUUCACAA